rnacentral:rRNA from 1 species
AUAAACGACUCUCGGCAACGGAUAUCUCGGCUCACGCAUCGAUGAAGAACGUAGCAAAAUGCGAUACUUGGUGUGAAUUGCAGAAUCCCGUGAACCAUCGAGUUUUUGAACGCAAGUUGCGCCCGAAGCCUUUUGGCUGAGAGCACGUCUGCCUGGGCGUCACAC